rnacentral:rRNA from 1 species
UACGUAGGGGGCUAGCGUUGUUCGGAUUUACUGGGCGUAAAGCGCACGUAGGCGGAUCGUUAAGUCGGGGGUGAAAUCCUGGAGCUCAACUCCAGAACUGCCUUCGAUACUGGCGAUCUAGAGUCCGGAAGAGGUGAGUGGAACUCCUAGUGUAGAGGUGGAAUUCGUAGAUAUUAGGAAGAACACCAGUGGCGAAGGCGGCUCGCUGGUCCGGUACUGACGCUGAGGUGCGAAAGCGUGGGGAGCAAACGGG